AAACCAUGCUGCGGGCAUUUUCGCAAGAGCUCCCUGAAUCGUUCCCAUGUCUUAAACAAGUAUUCAAGCUCCAUCUUAACAAACGAUGAUAUUUCAUUACGAAGCUU